AUGAACGCUGGCGGCGUGCCUAAUCCCUGCCAGUCGAGCGAACAGACGAGGAGCUUGCUCCUCUGACGUUAGCGGCGGACGGGUGAGUAACACGUGGAUAACCUACCUAUAAGACUGGGAUAACUUCGGGAAACCGGAGCUAAUACCGGAUAAUAUAUUGAACCGCAUGGUUCAAUAGUGAAAGACGGUUUUGCUGUCACUUAUAGAUGGAUCCGCGCCGCAUUAGCUAGUUGGUAAGGUAACGGCUUACCAAGGCAACGAUGCGUAGCCGACCUGAGAGGGUGAUCCGCCCCAACGGGAAUGGGACCCGGGCCCAAAUCCUAAGGGGGGGAGCCGGGGGGAAUAUUGCCCAAAGGGGGCAAGCCCGAACGGGACAACCCGGGGUGGGGAAGAAGGCUUUUGGGUUCUAAAACCCUUUUUUUGGGGAAAAAAAAAAUGUGUAAAAAACUAUGCACUUCUGAAGGGUCCCAAAGAAGAAACCCCGGCUAAAUUCGUG
rnacentral:rRNA from 1 species